AAGAAAAGAGAAAGGGGGUUAGGGUUGUGAAGAGGAGAAAAAGGAAACCCAAAAGUGUUGUUCUCGAGUGCCAUUUUCUCAAAAUCUCCAUUGAAAUUCCUUAAAGUUGUACUCAAUCCAAGGAAAUGGGCAGGUAUUCAAGUAUAGCUGUGGAAGUUUGUUGCUUCAUCAAGUCUUGUUGGUGUGUCGCUCUGAUACGUAGCACUCGGGGUUUUUUAUAUUGUUGUUCUUUGUUGUUAAUGUUUUAGUUGUUGUUAUUAUAACCGUUGAAUCCAAGUUGAAUAAUAUGAAGUACUUGUUAUACUUCCAAGUUGUUUGAGUUGAAUAAAGCUGAUAGUUGACUAUUAUUCGAAUGUUAUGUAUCAUUGUUAAAUGACAUACAAGUUGAAGUUUUAAGUUGAUAUGUGAUACUCCAA